rnacentral:rRNA from 1 species
GCUGACGAGUGGCGAACGGGUGAGUAAGACAUCGGAACGUGCCCGAUCGAGGGGGAUAACGGAGCGAAAGCUCUGCUAAUACCGCAUAAGAUCCGAGGAUGAAAGCAGGGGACCGAAAGGCCUUGCGCGGACGGAGCGGCCGAUGGCAGAUUAGGUAGUUGGUGGGAUAAAAGCCUACCAAGCCGACGAUCUGUAGCUGGUCUGAGAGGACGACCAGCCACACUGGGACUGAGACACGGCCCAGACUCCUACGGGAGGCAGCAGUGGGGAAUUUUGGACAAUGGGCGCAAGCCUGAUCCAGCCAUGCCGCGUGCAGGAUGAAGGCCCUCGGGUUGUAAACUGCUUUUGUACGGAACGAAAAGGCCCUGGUGAACAACCGGGGUUGCUGACGGUACCGUAAGAAUAAGCACCGGCUAACUACGUGCCAGCAGCCGCGGUAAUACGUAGGGUGCGAGCGUUAAUCGGAAUUACUGGGCGUAAAGCGUGCGCAGGCGGACAUGCAAGACAGAUGU